UACGUAGGGUGCGAGCGUUGUCCGGAAUUAUUGGGCGUAAAGAGCUCGUAGGCGGUGUGUCACGUCGGCCGUGAAAACCUGCAGCUUAACUGUGGGCGUGCGGUCGAUACGGGCAUCACUGGAGUUCGGUAGGGGAGACUGGAAUUCCUGGUGUAGCGGUGAAAUGCGCAGAUAUCAGGAGGAACACCGAUGGCGAAGGCAGGUCUCUGGGCCAUAACUGACGCUGAGAAGCGAAAGCAUGGGGAGCGAACAGG
rnacentral:rRNA from 1 species